rnacentral:lncRNA from 1 species
AUGAGAAAAACUGAGGUCAGAAAAACUGAUAGACCAUUUUAGAGGUGCAAGUAUCCUGAUGUUCAGUUCAGAAGUUGCAACAGAGUUACGAAUAAUAGUGAGUUCAAAUUUGCUUUACUACAAUAUUUGAAAAGCAGAGAUGAUCGUUUUCAAGCUAAUAAUAUAUUACUAUUACAUAGCAUUCCCUUACCAUUUCAUUUCCCUGUUCCUGUCUAUGGGAAUAUUCACGGAGCCUUCAUUAUGUAGGAACACUGAGCAUAGGCCAGGCAUUCCAGAUGGCAUAGCUACAAGCUGCAGAGAGCCACCCGAUCCACACCAGACUGCAAUAGCUCAUGAACCUGAAUAUACUGUCACUGGGGCCAAAGCAUUUCCUCCAGCAGGGCAACUUUGACCUAGAGCACAAGAGUAAAUCUUGGAGAAUUCAUGGAUAAAUGUUCUAGCAAUCAGAUAGCUGAAUAGAAGCAAAUCUCUAAGUGGCCUGGAAGAGAACGGCAAUGGCAUGGAUCGUUAUGAUUCCACCCAAGACAAACUUCUGCACUGGCCAAAAUAAACUGCUUAGUCACCAAAGAUGGGCA